rnacentral:rRNA from 1 species
GAUGAACGCCGGCGGCGUGCCUAAUACAUGCAAGUCGAGCGAACAGACGAGGAGCUUGCUCCUCUGACGUUAGCGGCGGACGGGUGAGUAACACGUGGAUAACCUACCUAUAAGACUGGGAUAACUUCGGGAAACCGGAGCUAAUACCGGAUAACAUGUUGAACCGCAUGGUUCAACAGUGAAAGACGGUCUUGCUGUCACUUAUAGAUGGAUCCGCGCCGCAUUAGCUAGUUGGUAAGGUAACGGCUUACCAAGGCAACGAUGCGUAGCCGACCUGUGAGGGUGAUAGCCCACACGGGAGGUGGGACAGCGUCCAGGCGCCUACGGGAGGCAGCAGUAGGCAAUCUUCCGCAAUGGGCGAAAGCAUGACGGAGCGGCGGCGCGCCAGAGAAGAAGGUCUUCGGUGCGUAAAACUCUGUUAUUAGGGAAGAACAAAUGUGUAAGUAACUAUGCACGGCUUGACGGUAACUAAUCAGAAAGCAACGGCUAACUACGUG